ensembl:lncRNA
UUUUUUUAUGGUUACCCUAGGUUUUUUUUUAUGGUUACCCUAUAUGUUUUUUUUUUUUUUAUGGUUACCCUGUAUGGUUACCCUAUAUGGUUACCCUAUAUGUUUUUUUUUUUUAUGGUUACCCUAUAUGGUUACCCUAUAUGUUUUUUUUAUGGUUACCCUAUAUGGUUUUAUAUCGUUUCCCUAUAUGGUUACCAUAUAUGGUUUUAUAUAGUUUCCCUAUAUGGUUACCCUAUAUGGUUUUAUAUGGUUACCCUAUAUGGUUUUAUAUAGUUUCCCUAUAUGGUUUUAUAUGGUUUUAUAUAGUUUCCCUAUAUGGUUACCCUAUAUGUUUCCCUAUAUGGUUACCCUAUAUGGUUUUAUAUGGUUACCCUAUAUGGUCUCCCUAUAUGGUUUUAUAUGGUUACCCUAUAUGGUUUUAUAUAGUUUCCCUAUAUGGUUACCCUAUAUGGUUUUAUAUAGUUUCCCUAUAUGGUUACCCUAUAUGGUCUCCCUAUAUGGUUUUAUAAGGUUACCCUGUAUGGUUUUAUAUAGUUUCCCUAUAUGGUUACCCUAUAUGGUUUUAUUCAAGUGCAUCUCCCAGAGAGGCUUGACUCCAAAUCAGUUGGUGAGCAUCUUAACUGUCCUCUGUUUCGUCCUCUCCUUUGUCUUUUAAUCUACUUGUGUACAUGUAGAAUUGUUUUAUUCUGUCCAUGGCAAUAUUAUUUCCAGUGGACCUUAAGAUUGUCUUGUAUUGCACAUAGAAAACUUCACCUGUUGAUUCACACUGACCUUGUAAUGGGAAUUACAAAUGUUUUUGUAGUUAUUACAUUAUUUCUUUUAAAGUAUUCUUAAGGUAGUUUUGGCAAUAGAGAAGCUAACUUGCAUGGUUGACACUGUUUACAAAUUAGCCAAGAAAAAAUGCUGCAGUUUCCUUUUUCGGACACAGAUUUUAGUCACAGAAACUUCAAGUGGAUGAAAUCAAGAUGAAGUGCAAUUAGAGCAGAUGCAAAAAUCACAGACAUUUAGUUUGAUAUGUCAUUCCACAAAGCAGACAGACAUUUAGUUUGAUAUGUCAUUCCACAAAGCAGACAGACAUUUAGUUUGAUAUGUCAUUCCAUAAAGCAGACAUUUAGUUUGAUAUGUCAUUCCAUAAAGCAGACAGACAUUUAGUUUGAUGUGUCAUUCCAUAAAGCAGACAGACAUUUAGUUUGAUGUGUCAUUCCACAAAGCAGACAGACAUUUAGUUUGAUGUGUCAUUCCACAAAGCAGACAGACAUUUAGUUUGAUGUGUCAUUCCACAAAGCAGACAGACAUUUAGUUUGAUAUGUCAUUCCACAAAGCAGACAGACAUUUAGUUUGAUAUGUCAUUCCAUAAAGCAGACAGACAUUUAGUUUGAUAUGUCAUUCCAUAAAGCAGACAGACAUUUAGUUUGAUAUGUCAUUCCAUAAAGCAGAAAGACAUUUAGUUUGAUAUGUCAUUCCAUAAAGCAGACAGACAUUUAGUUUGAUAUGUCAUUCCAUAAAGCAG